rnacentral:snoRNA from 1 species
AUCGUGGACGAGGAAGAGGUGAGCUUCCACAUUCUUUCUGGACUCGACGAGGAGUUUGACCCAGUGGUGUCGGCCAUGUGCUCCCGGGUAGAGCCUGUCAGGGGUCCGGAGCUGUUCUCACAGCUUCUGAGCUUUGAGA